rnacentral:rRNA from 1 species
AGAGUUUGAUCCUGGCUCAGGAUGAACGCUGGCGGCGUGCUUAACACAUGCAAGUCGAACGAGCCUUCGGGCUAGUGGCGGACGGGUGAGUAACGCGUGGGAAUCUGCCCUCAGGAGGGGGAUAACGGCCGGAAACGGCCGCUAAUACCCCAUAUGCCGAGAGGUGAAACGAAUUUCGCCUGGGGAUGAGCCCGCGUCUGAUUAGCUAGUUGGUGAGGUAAUGGCUCACCAAGGCAUCGAUCAGUAGCUGGUCUGAGAGGAUGAUCAGCCACACUGGGACUGAGACACGGCCCAGACUCCUACGGGAGGCAGCAGUGGGGAAUUUUCCGCAAUGGGCGCAAGCCUGACGGAGCAACGCCGCGUGAGGGACGAAGGCCUCUGGGCUGUAAACCUCUUUUCUCAAGGAAGAAGACAUGACGGUACUUGAGGAAUAAGCCACGGCUAAUUCCGUGCCAGCAGCCGCGGUAAUACGGGAGUGGCAAGCGUUAUCCGGAAUUAUUGGGCGUAAAGCGUCCGCAGGCGGCCUUGAAAGUCUGUUGUUAAAGCGUGGAGCUCAACUCCAUUUCAGCAAUGGAAACUACAAGGCUAGAGUGUGGUAGGGGCAGAGGGAAUUCCCGGUGUAGCGGUGAAAUGCGUAGAUAUCGGGAAGAACACCAGUGGCGAAGGCGCUCUGCUGGGCCAUAACUGACGCUCAUGGACGAAAGCCAGGGGAGCGAAAGGGAUUAGAUACCCCUGUAGUCCUGGCCGUAAACGAUGAACACUAGGUGUCGGGAGAAUUAACCCUUCCGGUGUCGUAGCCAACGCGUUAAGUGUUCCGCCUGGGGAGUACGCACGCAAGUGUGAAACUCAAAGGAAUUGACGGGGGCCCGCACAAGCGGUGGAGUAUGUGGUUUAAUUCGAUGCAACGCGAAGAACCUUACCAGGGUUUGACAUCCUGCGAAUCCCUUGGAAACUUGGGAGUGCCUUCGGGAACGCAGUGACAGGUGGUGCAUGGCUGUCGUCAGCUCGUGUCGUGAGAUGUUGGGUUAAGUCCCGCAACGAGCGCAACCCACGUCUUUAGUUGCCAGCAUUCAGUUGGGCACUCUAGAGAGACCACCGGUGAUAAACCGGAGGAAGGUGUGGAUGACGUCAAGUCAUCAUGCCCCUUACAUCCUGGGCUACACACGUACUACAAUGCUACGGACAAAGGGCAGCAAACUCGCGAGAGCUAGCAAAUCCCAUAAACCGUGGCUCAGUUCAGAUCGUAGGCUGCAACUCGCCUACGUGAAGGAGGAAUCGCUAGUAAUCGCAGGUCAGCAUACUGCGGUGAAUACGUUCCCGGGCCUUGUACACACCGCCCGUCACACCAUGGAAGUUGGCCAUGCCCGAAGUCGUUACUCCAACCCGCAAGGGAGGAGGACGCCGAAGGUGGGGCUGAUGACUGGGGUGAAGUCGUAACAAGGUA